UACGGAGGGUGCAAGCGUUGUUCGGAAUUAUUGGGCGUAAAGCGCGUGUAGGCGGUUUUUUAAGUCUGAUGUGAAAGCCCCGGGCUCAACCUGGGAAGUGCAUUGGAUACUGGAAGACUUGAGUACGGGAGAGGGUAGUGGAAUUCCUAGUGUAGGAGUGAAAUCCGUAGAUAUUAGGAGGAACACCGUGCGAGGCGGCUGCCUGGACCGAUACUGACGCUGAGACGCGAAAGACGUGGGGAGGCAAAC
rnacentral:rRNA from 1 species